rnacentral:rRNA from 1 species
GUGCCAGCAGCCGCGGUAACACGUAGGGGGCGAGCGUUGUCCGGAAUCAUUGGGCGUAAAGAGCUCGUAGGCGGCUCGGUAAGUCGGGUGUGAAACCCCCAGGCUCAACCUGGGGACGCCACCCGAUACUGCUGUGGCUAGAGUCCAGUAGGGGAGUGUGGAAUUCCCGGUGUAGCGGUGAAAUGCGCAGAUAUCGGGAGGAACACCAGCGGCGAAGGCGGCACUCUGGGCUGGAACUGACGCUGAGGAGCGAAAGCGUGGGUAGCAAACAGGAUUAGAUACCCUGGUAGUCC